UACGGGGGGAGCAAGCGUUGUUCGGAUUUACUGGGCGUAAAGGGCGCGUAGGCGGCCACCGCAAGUCGACUGUGAAAUCUCCGGGCUUAACCCGGAAAGGUCAGCCGAUACUGCGGGGCUAGAGUGCAGAAGGGGCAACUGGAAUUCUCGGUGUAGCGGUGAAAUGCGUAGAUAUCAGGAGGAACACUGAUGGCGAAGGCAGGUCUCUGGGCUGACACUGACGCUCAUGCACGAAAGCGUGGGGAGCAAACAGG
rnacentral:rRNA from 1 species